GGGCUGUAGCUCAACUGGAUAGAGCAUCAGACUACGAAUCUGAGGGUUAUGGGUUCGACUCCCGUCAGCCCC
rnacentral:tRNA from 1 species